rnacentral:rRNA from 1 species
UACGUAGGGAGCAAGCGUUGUCCGGAUUUAUUGGGCGUAAAGAGCUCGUAGGCGGCUUAGAAAGUCAGGUGUGAACCUCCAGGCUCAACCUGGAGACGCCACUUGAUACUUCUAUGGCUUGAGUUCGGUAGGGGACCACGGAAUUCCUGGUGUAGCGGUGAAAUGCGCAGAUAUCAGGAGGAACACCGAUGGCGAAGGCAGUGGUCUGGGCCGAUACUGACGCUGAGGAGCGAAAGCGUGGGGAGCGAACAGG